rnacentral:rRNA from 1 species
GAUGAACGCUGGCGGCGUGCUUAACACAUGCAAGUCGAACGAAGCACUUUAACCUGUUUCUUCGGAUGAAGGUUUUUGUGACUGAGUGGCGGACGGGUGAGUAACGCGUGGGUAACCUGCCUCAUACAGGGGGAUAACAGUUAGAAAUGACUGCUAAUACCGCAUAAGACCACAGAGCCGCAUGGCUCGGUGGGAAAAACUCCGGUGGUAUGAGAUGGACCCGCGUCUGAUUAGGUAGUUGGUGGGGUAACGGCCUACCAAGCCAACGAUCAGUAGCCGACCUGAGAGGGUGACCGGCCACAUUGGGACUGAGACACGGCCCAAAAUCCUACGGGAGGCAGCAGUGGGGAAUAUUGCACAAUGGGGGAAACCCUGAUGAAGCGACGCCGGGUGAGCGAAGAAGUAUUUCGGUAUGUAAAGCUCUAUCAGCAGGGAAGAAAAUGACGGUACCUGACUAAGAAGCACCGGCUAAAUACGUG